UUCUUUUGUUUUUCCAUUGGCAGGUCCAGGUAAAGGCUCUGACACUUUCUCAAGGACACGCUGCUGAGACUUCCAGAUUCCAGAUUGUGCCGGGCUCCAUGGCAGUCUCCAAUCUUCAAAUCUUCAAUCUAUGACAGCACAGAUUCCUGAAAGGAUGGCCUCAAAUGACCAGGAGUGACUCUCUACAUCCCUGCUCCUGAAUAACAAGCUAAUUGGAGUCUCCAUCAACUGCCCCGAGCAUAGACACACUUCCAAUUUCCCAACUGAACUUCAUGACUGAUUGGCCAGUCAGUCAUGCCCCUGACCCAGCCUACAUGAACAUUGGAAGACCAUCAGUGAAUUAUGAAAAGAAGGAGAGGCGAGGAGACACCUGCCCUGGGCUACACAUCUGUGUUGUUCAGCAAUCUCCAGCCCCUAGUACUCAAGAAGCUCUAAGCCACCCCUCUGUAAGUCAGAAUGGAAGCACGUGAUACCACAUUUCUAUCUACUGUAGAGACUCUUCCCAGUGUCUCAAAAUGUUUUAGCAUCUUUCAGUAAAAAUUUUCAUUUGUCAGUUAUUGAUUAAAAAAAAAAAAAAGCAGCAACGUGUUUAAAGCUCCCUUGAACCCUCUAUUUUAAUGUGCUUUUGUAAAUUCCCAAGAUCUUGUGUUCUUCAUCUUUGUAAUUUAUCUUUAUUAAACUUGUCAUAAACUCCAAUAUUCUGAUCUCUUACUGAAGAAUUCAUAUUCCUAUCCAA